rnacentral:pre_miRNA from 1 species
GUGCACCACUCCCGCGGUGCGCCAUUAGUAAAAAAGGUUUUUUUUAAAAAAAUUCAAAACUACUAAUGGCGCACCAUGGGAGUGGUGCGC